GUGGCCUAGUGGUGAAAGCGCCAGUCUAGCGAAUACGGAGUCGUGGGUUCGAAUCCCACC
rnacentral:tRNA from 1 species